rnacentral:misc_RNA from 1 species
UUUUGAAAUGUUGAAAAAAUAUGCCUAAAUUUUUUUACCAUGUAAAAGUAACCGGGGUGGAUGUACUUGCGUUUGCUGAAUGCCAUAUGCUAAAUUUUUUUACCAUGUAAAAUUUGUUAAACAAUACUGUAAAUUUUUUUACCAUGUAAAAUUUGCUGGUGUGGACUUAGAGAAAUUUUAUACUGUAAAUUUUUUUACCUUGUAGAUUUUGCUCUACAGGGUGUGGGGUGGACUUGACUUCUUUUUUUUUUUUAAUGAACUUCAGGGCUAGUUUCUAGUGUGUUAGCCAAGGACCAUAUUUUUGUGUUACACUUUCAGCUUCUC